UGAGGAAUAUUGCGCAAUGGGCGAAAGCCUGACGCAGCGACGCCGCGUGGGGGAUGAAGGUUUUCGGAUUGUAAACCCCUUUCAUGAGGAAAGAUAAAGUGGGUAACCACUUAGACGGUACCUCAAGAAGAAGCCCCGGCUAACUCCGUGCCAGCAGCCGCGGUAAUACGGAGGGGGCUAGCGUUGUUCGGAAUUACUGGGCGUAAAGGGCGUGUAGGCGGUUUGUCUAGUCAGGCGUGAAAGCCCCGGGCUUAACCUGGGAACUGCGUUUGAUACUGGCAGGCUAGAGGUUGGAAGAGGAGAGUGGAAUUCCCAGUGUAGAGGUGAAAUUCGUAGAUAUUGGGAAGAACACCAGUGGCGAAGGCGGCUCUCUGGUCCACACCUGACGCUGAGGCGCGAAAGCGUGGGGAGCAAACAGGAUUAGAUACCCUGGUAGUCCACGCCGUAAACGAUGUGUGCUAGACGUCGGAUGUUACGCAUUCGGUGUCGCAGCUAACGCAUUAAGCACACCGCCUGGGGAGUACGGCCGCAAGGUUA
rnacentral:rRNA from 1 species